rnacentral:rRNA from 1 species
GACGAACGCUGGCGGCGUGCUUAACACAUGCAAGUCGAACGGAAAGGCCCUGCUUUUGUGGGGUGCUCGAGUGGCGAACGGGUGAGUAACACGUGAGUAACCUGCCCUUGACUUUGGGAUAACUUCAGGAAACUGGGGCUAAUACCGGAUAGGAGCUCCUGCUGCAUGGUGGGGGGUGGAAAGUUUCGGCGGUUGGGGAUGGACUCGCGGCUUAUCAGCUUGUUGGUGGGGUAGUGGCUUACCAAGGCUUUGACGGGUAGCCGGCCUGAGAGGGUGACCGGCCACAUUGGGACUGAGAUACGGCCCAGACGCCUACGGGAGGCAGCAGUGGGGAAUAUUGCACAAUGGGAGGAAGCCUGAUGCAGCAACGCCGCGUGCGGGAUGACGGCCUUCGGGUUGUAAACCGCUUUCGCCUGUGACGAAGCGUGAGUGACGGUAAUGGGUAAAGAAGCACCGGCUAACUACGUG